UACGUAUGGUGCAAGCGUUAUCCGGAUUUACUGGGUGUAAAGGGAGCGUAGGCGGCGCGUUAAGUCUGAUGUGAAAACCCGAGGCUCAACCACGGGAGUGCAUUGGAAACUGGCGGGCUGGAGUGCCGGAGAGGUAAGCGGAAUUCCUAGUGUAGCGGUGAAAUGCAUAGAUAUCACGCAGAACGCCGAUUGCGAAGGCAGCUUACCGGCGCUCAACUGACGCUGAGGCACGAAAGUGCGGGUAUCGAACAGG
rnacentral:rRNA from 1 species